rnacentral:tRNA from 1 species
GCAGUGGUGGUUCAGGGUAGAAUUCUCACCUUCCAUGCAGAGGACCUGGGUUUCAUUCCCAGCCACUGCA